UGUGAUCCCUUGUAAUAUAGCUGGCAUAUGUAAGUCACUUUGGUCAAGAAGUGUCUGCUAAAUGUAAUGUAAUGUAAUGUAAUGUUCCUUUAGCAUGGUCACUUCAUAUGUUUUCAUGCUCCUCUGCUCUCUGUGCCUAAUUGAACUCAUUAACGGUGCUCUUGAUUAGCUGGACACAAGGUUAACCAGAUGCUGACUGAACUGUCUGCGGACACCUCCCUUCAUGUAAAACGGCAGAGUGUUAUGAGUUCUCCAGGUCUGUGGUGCCUCAGGUUAUGCCAGUUAAGCAGGUGUCGUCCAUGCUGGUCUGUGGUGCCUGGACAUGGCUCCUCUGCACUAUGGAUAUCCUUACAGGACACAACCAGUGCUUGAGGAAAACAUGAGUCAGCGCUUCAUGGAUUAGGAACUCUCGCUUGGUCCACCACAGAGAGACAAUAACAUGAGUCAGCACUUCAUGGAUUGGGAACUCUCUCUUGAUCCAUGACAGAGAGAUAAUAACGUCUAAAUCAGUAGAAAGUGUUGCGUGGAAUGUCUUCAAAACACCACUGAGAGGUAUCGCCUGGCUGGAACCUACAAAUGUGCAUGCGGUUUCUCCAUUGUGUCAAAACAAGAGAGGCAGGUAUGCAGGCUGGAGUGUUAUAUGUUUCUAAUCAAGUUCUAAUAAGCAUUCAAGUUAUCCUGUCUUUGUUAUGAUUUGAAUGUUAGUACUGACUACAACAGUAACUAGUUUUAUUACGAGCAAACCACGUUUUAUUUUUGGCAGUGAUUACAUGGGAUUUCACGUUUUAUGUUAAAGGUGCUCUAAGCGAUGUUAUACGGUUUCUAAGCUAAAACAUUUCUUGUCACAUACAGCAAACAUUUCAGUUGCAGGGGAGGGAGGGACGAGCUAGCUCUGUUUUGUUUGAAUGUCAACAGAAGUGAUGUUACCCUACAUUGCUUAGAGCACCACCAUUUGUUGAUUUUAUGUUCAAUAUAUGUUUAACAGAUCAAUAAUCAAUAGUAGAGUUCAUAUUCUUGACAUCAAUAUGUGCAAGUAAGACAUGUAAGACUAGAUGUGGUGGUGAACAGACUAUUUUAGUUAGUUUUUAAAAUGGAAGUGUUUAGCCCAAUUCCAUAGUAAUUAAAUAAAAGUUUCAUAAAGUCAGUAAAUAAUAUCGAUGCUCAAGAUGAAGAUAUUAUUGAUCCGGAUCAGAUGCAAUUAGAAACUACAUGUACUGACACUGAGCAUGUUUAUCUGAUUCACUUUACAUUUACACACACAAAUAAAACAACAACAAAAAACAGUCUAGCUUGUCUUUGUCUCCUAACUCUCAUAUCCAUGUCACGGUUUUCCCCCUGCAACAUGUAAAUGCUGUAAAAACAAAUGUAAAUAAAAAUAAAGAUUCAUGGGGACAAACCUU